UUCCCCAGGGGGGAGUGACAUUGGUGUCCCCGAGUGGGUGGCAUGGGGGUCCCCAAGGGGUGACAGUUGAUGUCCCCAAGGGGGGGAAAUGGGGGUCCCCAUGGGUGGACAGUGUUUCCCCAAGGGGGGGAAUGGGAGGUCCCAUGGUUGGCAUUGGUGUCCCCAGGGGGGAGGUGACAACGAUGUCCCCAAAGGGGGGGGAAAUGGGGGUCUCCAAAGGGGUGACAUGGGGGUCCCCAGGGGGGAGGUGACAAUGAUGUCCUCAAGGGGGUGACAAUGAUGUCCCCAAGGGGUGACAGGUGACAUGGGGGUCCUCAAAAGGGUGGCAUUGGUGUCCCCAAAGGGGUGACAUGGGGUCCCCAUGGGGUGGCAUUGGUGUCCCCAGGGGGGAGGUGACAGUGAUGUCCCCAAGGGGGGGAAAUGGGGGUCCCCAUGGGGUGGCAUUGGUGUCCCCAGGGGGGAGGUGACAUUGGUUGUCCCGAAGGGGGUGACAUAGGGGUCCCCAAAGGGGGGACAUGGGGGUCUCCAUGGGGUGCUUAGGUGUCCCCAGGUAAGGGGACAUGGCCCAGGGGAGGUUGACAAAUGUUCCCAAAUGGGGGCAUGGGGGUCUUCCAUGGGUGCAUUUGGUGUCCCAGGGGGGAGGUGACAGUGAUGUCCCCGAGUGGGUGGCAUGGGGGUCCCCAAGGGGUGACAGUGAUGUCCCCAAGGGGGGGACAUGGGGGUCUCCAUGGGGUGGCAUUGGUGUCCCCAAGGGGGGGACAUGGGGUCCCCAUUGGGGAUGUGACAAAUGAUUGUCCCCAAAGGGGGGAAAUGGGGGGUCCCCAAGGAGGUGACAGUGAUGUCCCCAAGGGGGGGAAAUGGGGGUCCCCAAGGGGUGACAGUGAUGUCCCCAAGGGGGGGGAAUGGGGGUCCCCAAGGGGUGACAGUGAUGUCCCCAAGGGGGGGAAAUGGGGGUCUCCAUGGGGUGGCAUUGGUGUCCCCAAGGGGGAGGUGACAACGAUGUCCCCAUCAGAUUGGCACCAGCUGCGCGUUGGGGGUUUGGUGGUGGCGGCUGUGCUCUGCGUCACCGGGAUCGGUCAUCCUCGUGAGUGGGAAGUGCAAGUGCCGCAGCAAAGGAAGCCACCGCCGUCCCCCCCCAGAGAUGUCCCACCUCGUCAGCACCGGUAGGUGUGUCCCCCCCCCCCCCCCCCCAAAAGAAGGGACAGAGGUGACAUUGGGGGGGGGGACCUAUAGAGUGAUCCCCCCCCCCCCCCUUUUUGACCACCCAUCUCUCUGCAGAGCCGCCGGCAAGCUCGUGCUGAGCUGUCCCAAAUGUCCCCAAGCCAUGGGGUGGCCCCAAUGACACACGCGGAUGCAGUGGUGGGGGGGGGGGGUGGAAUUUGGGGGGGGGGGGGGAUUGGGGGUCAAAUCUGCCCCCCCCCCCCCCCAAUAAAGGGUCCACAGUGAAGUGAUGGUUGAUGGCCCCAUGGCCAAUGGCCCCAUGGCCCCCAUGAUGUCCCCAUGUCCCCACAUCCUCCAUGUCCCCCAUGAUGUCCCCCAUGUCCUCCAUGAUUGUCCCCAUUGUCCCCCAUUGAUGACAAUGUCCCCAUGUCCCCCAUGAGUCCCCAUGUCCCCACAUCCUCCAUGUCCCCCAUGAUGUCCCCAUAUCCCUCAUGUCCCCCAUGACCACCUGAUGUCCCCAUGUCCCCCAUGAUGUCCCCAUGAUGUCCCCAUGUCCCCAUGUCCUCCAUGUCCACCUGAUGUCCCCAAUGUCCCCAUGUCCCCCAUGAUGUCCCCAUGUCCCCAUGUCCUCCAUGUGUCCACCUGAUGUCCCCAAUGUCCCCAUGUCCCCCAUGAUGUCCCUCAUGAUGUCCCCAUAUCCCCCAUGUCCCCAUGUCCCCAUGUCCCCCAUGAUGUCCCAAUGUCCCCCAUGAUGUCCCAUGUCCCAUGUCCCCAUGUCCCCCAUGAUGUCCCCAUGUCCCCCAUGACCACCUGAUGUCCCCAUGUCCACCUGAUGUCCCCAAUGUCCCCAUGUCCCCCAUGAUGUCCCUCAUGAUGUCCCCAUAUCCCCCAUGUCCCCAUGUCCCCCAUGAUGUCCCCCAUGAUGUCCCCAUGUCCCCCAUGAUGUCCCCAUGUCCUCCAUGAUCAUCUGAUGUCCCCAUGUCCCCCAUGAUGGCCCCAUGAUGUCCCCAUGAGCACCUGAUGUCCCCAUGUCCUCCAUGAUGACCAAUGUCCCCAUGGCCCCAUGUCCCCCAUGAUGUCCCCAUGUCCCCCAUGAUGUCCCCAUGUCCCCAUGUCCUCCAUGUGUCCACCUGAUGUCCCCAAUGUCCCCACGUCCCCCAUGAUGUCCCCAUGUCCUCCAUGAUGUCCCCACAUCCCCACACCCCCCAUGUCCCCCAUGAUGAUCAAUGUCCCCAUGUCCCCCAUGAUGUCCCCAUGUCCUCCAUGAUGGCCAAUGUCCCCCCAUGACCACCUGAUGUCCCCAUGUCCCCCAUGAUGUCCCCACAUCCCCACACCCCCCAUGUCCCCCAUGAUGUCCCCAUGUCCCCAUGUCCUCCAUGUGUCCACCUGAUGUCCCCACGUCCCCCAUGAUGUCCCCAUGUCCCCACAUCCUCCAUGUCCCCCAUGAUGUCCCCAUGUCCCCCAUGGUGUCCCCAUAUCCCCCAUGAUGUCCCCAUGUCCCCACAUCCCCAUGUCCCCCAUGAUGGUCCCCAUGUCCCCCAUGAUGUCCCCAGCGCCCCCCACAACCCCCCACAACCCCCACGCCCCCAUGCCCCGAUC
rnacentral:lncRNA from 7 species